UACGCUCAAAAAAUCAAUUGGUUUUUUUUAAUAAAAUUAGGUGAUUUGUUUUCAGAUGUCGAAUUAAUUUUGAAGGUUUCAUACUUUCUUGGGAUAGAACUUGAAAGUAAACAACACAUUGCGGCUUAUUAUCAAGUGAAAUAAACCCAUACUUCAAAUACUCGUUGUUAUAUGACCUGAAUUUUUUUUUCGCUGGUUCGCCAGAAGUAGCGGAGCAUUACGUUUUAUUAUAUAUUUAUCCAUAAUCAUUAAUUCAAAUUACACAAAACUAAAAAGACGCACUAAAAACCAACUUAAUAAUCGCAAUAUCACGACCCGAUACAAACUUGAUAAGCUUAAGUUACUAGAUAUGGUAUUUAUAAAUUGAUAUUUAAAAUGUUAUAUUUCGUUUGGUUAAUGAUAGGAUAUUUUUACUGUUUAAAUUUUUACCUAACCUUGAUAGAGGGGGGGGGGUGGUCGCGAAGUGAUUGACUAUAUUUUAUACCUAUUUUGGGGAUCGCGACACUAAAAAGGUUGAAAAACGAUGCUUUAUACUAAGUCGAUCAAAGAUUUAGGUGGCUUUGUCUGUAAUAGUAUCAAAUAUUUUGUUCUACGUAUAUUUUAAAAUGUGAUUAAUAUGAAGAACUGCGAGUUAAAAAUGUAAAACCAAUAUUAUUAAAUAACUUAAUUUAGAUAUAAAUUGUAUUAAUUAAAAAUAAAUAAAAGUCUUCAAUUAUGUAUCAAUUUCAUAAUACAUAUUGUAUAAUGACUACAACAUAAAUUGUUAAAAUAAAUCUAUUGAU